AAAAAACGUAGAAUACAAAUGUAAUCACCUACACCGAAAUGCAUGUUAAUAAAGAUCACAUGAGUUCAAAACAAUGAAACUCUAAUCAUAAUCGAUGCAGUUUAAACAUAUUUAGCACAUUUUCAUACACUAUAAACAUAACCCAGACAGUAGGAGCUUCCCAAUUCUGUGUCUCGCACGUGUUGCUUUCUAGGUGAAGGUGGAGAGAAUGCAGUCUGUGUCUGCUCCAACAGCAGGCACAAAAGAUUUACUGGCACCACCGAAUAGAGAACCUCUUGUGAAUUAUUCGCAGAUGGAUUACUGGUUGAUGAACUGAGUCCAGAAGUCAUAUUUCCAGAACUUGAUAGCCCGAAUGAUACAAAAUUGGUAGUAGUUCUUCCGGAACUUAGAUUAGCAAAAACAUCCAGCAAGCUGCACAUGUAGUAAACGGAAUUUAGAUUGUAUUCUCAUAGAAAUCAAUGUCAUCAACAAUGAGUAAAAGAACAGAACUUGCAAACAGUUGGAAAUCAUUUUCUAGUCUGUAUGCAUAGAACUAACCUGCUAGAGUUUUCUUGUAUACCGGGUCCGGUGCUUGAUUUGGGCAUCAAGGAAGGGAACUUAUCUACAAUAUGAAACACUUUGAAUGAACUAGAAGGAUUCCAAAUACUGAGCUGAAUAAAAUAUAAUUAUAUACACACAUAAAAGUUCAAUCUCCUUACCUACAGAGCACUAAUUCUAAAUGCUGCUCUGUUUUGAGGUUGAGACAAACCAUUUUCGACAUCAUCUGAAGUUCAAUCUCUCAACCAAAAAAGCUUACAAAGGACACUAGCAGUGUCACUGUUAUUUACAGGUAGUAUGUGUGAGAAGGGGAAGAAGUUUCUACCUAGAUAGUCCUUGAUCUUGAGGAGUAGAAACAUGAGUAUCCAAUAAACCAGUACUACUCUCAAAUUUGUGAUCGUCUUGGACAUUCAGCACUGAAACACAAAAUAGAUGCAUACUAGUGUAAACAAUUGCAACUAAAACUUUCAAAGAUAUAAUGAUCCAAGUAUACCUUGGAGUUGGGCUCAAAUUUUUACUACAAUUUUCCUAGAACUGUAAGAGAUGUUGAGGGCACGGUAGUAGGCCUGACUUCAAGGCUAGAGCCACAACUUCCUCUGCUCUACUGUUCCCUACCAUCAUUUUAAGCCACUCGACAAGAUUAACCUGCCACAGACACAAUUAUUGAUAUUGUUACUCGAAGGGGGUGGCCAGCUUCCCGGUCACUCUGUCUGGAGUGGCAUACAUCCCGAUUUACUAAGAAUUUACUAGCUAUGCUUAUCGAAUAUAAGUAAUUAAAUUAGCACCUCAUUGGCUNAAGGUGGAGAGAAUGCAGUCUGUGUCUGCUCCAACAGCAGGCACAAAAGAUUUACUGGCACCACCGAAUAGAGAACCUCUUGUGAAUUAUUCGCAGAUGGAUUACUGGUUGAUGAACUGAGUCCAGAAGUCAUAUUUCCAUAACUUGAUAGCCCGAAUGAUACAAAAUUGGUAGUAGUUCUUCCGGAACUUAGAUUAGCAAAAACAUCCAGCAAGCUGCACAUGUAGUAAACGGAAUUUAGAUUGUAUUCUCAUAGAAAUCAAUGUCAUCAACAAUGAGUAAAAGAACAGAACUUGCAAACAGUUGGAAAUCAUUUUCUAGUCUGUAUGCAUAGAACUAACCUGCUAGAGUUUUCUUGUAUACCGGGUCCGGUGCUUGAUUUGGGCAUCAAGGAAGGGAACUUAUCUACAAUAUGAAACACUUUGAAUGAACUAGAAGGAUUCCAAAUACUGAGCUGAAUAAAAUAUAAUUAUAUACACACAUAAAAGUUCAAUCUCCUUACCUACAGAGCACUCAUUCUAAAUGCUGCUCUGUUUUGAGGUUGAGACAAACCAUUUUCGACAUCAUCUGAAGUUCGAUCUCUCACCAAAACAGCUUCAAAGGACACUGCAGAGUCACUGUUAUUUACAGGGUAGUAUGUAUGAGUAUCCAAUAAACCAGUACUACUCUCAAAUUUUUGAUCGUCUUGGACAUUCAGCA
rnacentral:lncRNA from 1 species